AUGUCAGCUUCUAAUAUUUCUUCUUGCCAUUUCACUAAUCCUCUAAAUCCAAUGAGCAUUUAUGCAAACAAAUACAUACCUGUGCAGGAGGAAUUGUACAUAGCUAGAGGAACCAGAGACCAAAUUGCCAACAUCCACUGGAUCAUCGAAAAAGCAAGAGAGUUUCAGAAAAACAUCUGUUUCUGCUUUAUUGACUAUGCCAAAGCCUUUGACUGUGUGGAUCACAAUAAACUGUGGAAAAUUCUGAAAGAGAUGAGAAUACCAGACCACCUGACGUGUCUCUUGAGAAAUCUGUAUGCAGGUCAGGAAGCAACAGUUAGAACUGGACAUGGAACAACAGACUGGUUCCAAAUAGGAAAAGGAACAUGUCAAGGCUGUAUAUCAUCACCCUGCUUAUUUAACUUAUAUGUAGAGUACAUCAUGAGAAACGCUGGGCUGGAAGAAGCACAAGCUGGAAUCAAGAUUGCUGGGAGAAAUAUCAAUAACCUCAGAUAUGCAGAUGACACCACUCUUAUGGCAGAAAGCAAAGAACAACUAAACAGCCUCUUGAUGAAAGUGAAAGAGGAGAGUGAAAAAGUUGGCUUAAAGCUCAACAUUCAGAAAACGAAGAUCAUGGCAUCCAGUCCCAUCACUUCAUGGGAAAUAGAAGGGGAAACAGUGGAAACAGUGUCAGACUUUAUUAUUUUGGGCUCCAAAAUCACUGCAGAUGGUGACCGCAGUCAUGAAAUUAAAAGACGCUUACUCCUUAGAAGAAAAGUUAUGACCAACCUAGACAGCAUAUUCAAAAGCAGAGACAUUACUUUGCCGACUAAGGUCCGUCUAGUCAAGGCUAUGGUUUUUCCAGUGGUCAUGUAUGGAUGUGAGAGUUGGACUGUGAAGAAAGCUGAGCGCCGAAGAAUUGAUGCUUUUGAACUGUGGUGUUGGAGAAGACUCUUGAGAGUCCCUUGGACUGCACGGAGAUCCAACCAGUCCAUUCUGAAGGAGAUAAGCCCUGGCAUUUCUUUGGAAGGAAUGAUGCUAAAGCUGAAACUCCAAUACUUUGGCCACCUCACGUGA
rnacentral:lncRNA from 1 species